rnacentral:misc_RNA from 1 species
GUUCCAAUGGCUAUAUGAAUGCAGUUUUCUUCAUACAAACUUAUUACAAUCUCAUAUCUCUAAAUUGAUGUGUUCAUUUUAUUUUACAUAUUAUUUGUGUUUUACUGCUAUUUCAAAGCUAUUUUAAGAAUUGGCUCUCCAAAAAUAGCCCUUGGUAAAUUUGAAUUUGACCUAAUAUUUAUAUAAUUCUCUGACUCUUUAUCGAUAUUUGAGUUUCGUUGGAUAGGGUGUUCAAUUUUUACUAAAAAUUAUUGUUCAUCUCUUUUCCAACCCUUGGUAUAUAUAUGUUAAAGUCAUCAGCUAUCUGUAAUUGACUGGAUGCAGUAUUAAGGAAAAAGAUUAUGCAUUUAUACAUUUUGAAUCGUUUUGUAGUUGGUAUUGUAAAGCUAAUUUAUUGCUUGGGUCAGAGUCGGACAUUGUUGUGCAAGUGAGCAAUGUGGCAUACGGGCCUAUAGUUUGUUCAUUUUGGACCUAGUGUAAUGUUCACAUCCAUGGACCUUGGAAAAUUUUAUUAGUGCUUGAUCGUGGACAGGGCAUUCCUGUCAGUCUACUGACACAACUACAACUUUUUUCCUCUUGUUUUUAAACAGCUAUAUGAAAAAUGUCAUAUAUUUAUAUUAAUUUACAAGAAACUGUUGUGGACUGUAUAGGCAGAGCAUCUUUGUCUUAUUGACACAUUUUAAGUUACUCGUUUUUGUACAGAUGAAAUAACACCAUAUGUCUGUCAAUGGCAUGACACUAUAGACAGUUGUGAACUGUUUAGAAGGAGAACCCCCUAUAUAUCUUGGAAUAUGCUGAUAACUUGUAAUGUCUUCCAUUAGAAUAAUUCAUUAUUUUUCAUAUCGUGGAGAUUUAUUGAGUUUUAAAAUUUAUGAAUUGAAACAAAUAUAAAACAGCAAUAAAAUAUCAAAAACAAUG